rnacentral:rRNA from 1 species
AGUGAACGCUGGCGGUAGGCCUAACACAUGCAAGUCGAACGAGUGGCGGACGGGUGAGGAAUAUAUAGGAAUAUAAUCUGUGGUGGGGGAUAACGAAGGGAAACAUACGAUAAUACAGCAUACGAUUGAAUGAGCAGAUGUCGGAUUAGCUAGUUGGGGGGGUAAAGGCGCACCAAGGCGACGAUCCGUAGCUGGUCUGAGAGGAAGAUCAGCCACACUGGAACUUAGACACGGUCCAGACUCCUACGUGAGGCAGCAGUGGGGAAUAUUGCACAAUGGGCGCAAGCCUGAUGCAGCCAUGCCGCGUGUAUGAAGAAGGCCUUCGGGUUGUAAAGUACUUUCAGCGGGGAGGCGUUACCCGCAGAAGAAGCACCGGCUAACUCCGUGCCAGCCGCCGCGGUAAUUC